AAGGAAUAUAGUUUAAGUUAAAAAUAUUAGUUUUCAAAACUGAGGAUACUUUAGAUUAGGUUGUUUCUG
rnacentral:tRNA from 1 species